GAUCAUUAACAAAUCCAAUAAUUGUGGAAGGACUAACUAUCCUUUCUGCAAAUAUUAAUCCGCCGGUAGCUCUUUGUAGCAACUGGCUGUGAUAUAAAUGCGUGUUAUGUUGACGGUGUGUGUAAUUAAAAUUAUUGACAACUUUUAACAAUGGAUCUCUAGGCUCUUGCAGCGAUGAAGAACGCAGCAAAGUGCGAAAAGUGUUGCGAUUUGCACGAAUCUGUGAGUCAUCUAAUCUUUGAACGCGAAUGGCACUGUUACGCAAGUAGCAGUAUGUCUGUUUGAGAAUCGCAAAACUCGAUCAACUCUAGUUAAGAGUUGGGAUUGACCUCAUAUGCAGUUGCAUAUCUGGUUUGAAUGUAUCAAGUUGAUGAGCUUCCCAACGUUGCUCAAUGUGUGCUAGCGAGACAGUCGUCCCGAUCUCACAUUAAAACACUGUUGCAAGGUUCUAUAUACAACUUUUUAUUAUUUAUUAUCAUCAAUUACGAUCUCAAAUCAGGCAAGAUUACCCGCUGAACUUAAGCAUAUCAAUAAGCGGAGGAAAAGAAACUAACAAGGAUUCCCUCAGUAACGGCGAGUGAAGCGGGAAGAGCUCAAAUUUAAAAUCUGGUGUAAAAACCCGAAUUGUAGUCUAAAGAGGCGUUAUCGGACACGAGUCUGUCGUACAAGUUCCCUGGAAUGGGACAUCACAGAGGGUGAGAAUCCCGUCUGGACGAUGGACGAAUGGCCAUAUGAGACGUUCUCAAAGAGUCGAGUUGUUUGGGAUUGCAGCUCAAAAUGGGAGGUAAAUUUCUUCUAAGGCUAAAUAUUGGCCUGAGACCGAUAGCGAACAAGUACCGUGAGGGAAAGAUGAAAAGCACUUUGAAAAGAGAGUCAAGCAGUACGUGAAAUUGCUGAAAGGGAAACGCUUGAAGUCAGUCGCGCCCCCUGGAAUUCAGCCCUGCUUUUGUAGGGUGUACUUUCCAGGGGGUGGGCCAACAUCAGUUUUGACCGGCAGAUAAAGGCUGGGGGAAUGUGGCUCCUUCGGGAGUGUUAUAGCCCCCAGUCACAUAUGCCGGUUGGGACUGAGGAACGCAGCGCGCCCUUGUGGCAGGCCUUCGGGC
rnacentral:rRNA from 1 species